GGGGAUGUCUUGGCGCUAGAAGGCGAUGAAGGGCGUGGAAGGCUGCGAAAAGUCUGGGGGAGCCGUCAAACAGGCAUUGAUCCCGGAAUCCCUGAAUUAUUGCAUGAUGAAUCCAUAGUCAUGCAAGGCGAACGUGGAGAACUGAAACAUCUCAGUACCCACAGGAAGAGAAAGAAAACUCGACUCCCUGAGUAGUGGCGAGCGAAACGGGAUAUAGCCUAAACCGACGUCUACGGAUGUCGGGGUCGUGGGGCCGAACUACAUGAAGUAAAAAAACCAAAUCUUAGAGGAAUCCAGCUGGAACGUUGGACCACAGAGGGUGAAAGUCCCGUACUCGAAAAGAUUUGGACUUCUGCUCGGUACCCGAGUAAGUCCGGGCACGUGAAACCUGGACCGAAUCUGGGAGGCCCAUCUCCCAAGGCUAAGUACUCUCUAGCGACCGAUAGUAAAUAAGUAGCGCGAGCGAAAGAUGAAAAGAACCCCGCAAGGGGAGGGAAAGA
rnacentral:rRNA from 1 species